rnacentral:rRNA from 1 species
CCUANGGGUGGCAGCAGGGAGGAAUAUUGCACAACGGGGGAAACCCAGGUGCAGCAACGCCGCGUGAGUGAAGAAGGCCUUCGGGUCGUAAAACUCUUUUCUGAGGGAUGAGUAAGGACAGUACCUCAGGAAUAAGUCUCGGCUAAUUACGUGCCAGCAGCCGCGGUAAGACGUAAGAGGCGAGCGUUAUCCGGAUUUACUGGGCGUAAAGGGCAAGUAGGCGGUACAGCAAGUCAGUUGUGACAGAUCCCGGCUUAACUGGGAGAGGACGAUUGAGACUGUUGAGCUAGAGGACAGGAGAGGGAAGCGGAAUUCCUUGUGUAGCGGUGGAAUGCUCAGAUACAAGGAGGAACACCAGUGGCGAAGGCGGCUUUCUGGCCUGGUCCUGACGCUGAAGAGCGAAAGCUAGGGGAGCAAACGGGAUUAGAUACCCUANUANUC